rnacentral:rRNA from 1 species
CCUACGGGAGGCAGCAGUGAGGAAUAUUGGUCAAUGGACGAGAGUCUGAACCAGCCAAGUAGCGUGAAGGAUGACUGCCCUAUGGGUUGUAAACUUCUUUUAUAUGGGAAUAAAAUGUUCCACGUGUGGGAUUUUGUAUGUACCAUAUGAAUAAGGAUCGGCUAACUCCGUGCCAGCAGCCGCGGUAAUACGGAGGAUCCGAGCGUUAUCCGGAUUUAUUGGGUUUAAAGGGAGCGUAGGUGGAUUGUUAAGUCAGUUGUGAAAGUUUGCGGCUCAACCGGAAAAUUGCAGUUGAAACUGGCAGUCUGGAGUACAGUAGAGGUGGGCGGAAUUCGUGGUGUAGCGGUGAAAUGCUUAGAUAUCACGAAGAACUCCGAUUGCGAAGGCAGCUCACUGGACUGCAACUGACACUGAGGCUCGAAAGUGUGGGUAUCAAACAGGAUUAGAUACCCGAGUAGUC